rnacentral:lncRNA from 7 species
CUAUCUAUUGGUUUGAAUGAAGUCAGUGCCUAGCCUAGAGUUUGUUGUGUGUGGUUAGUCACCUAUUCGUAAAUGAUGUGGUUUUUACAUCAGCUUGAGAUGUUUGUCAAAUGUGUGAAGGAUUACGGGGUUAUUAUUGACCUUGUAUGUCUGGUACUUUGAGUGCAUCGUAUGAUAGAAUGAAAUGUAAGUUUAUGAACUACAGUAGAUGAAGACUUAUAUUAUGUGUAGGUUAACCUUACUAGUUCGGAUAUUUUUCUUAGUUGAGUUGUUGGAUGAAGUAUAGUGACAUUGGUUAACCAAGUAUUGUGUUGUUGUGCUGUCAGUGCUCUUUGUGGAGCUUUUGGCAUUUCUUCGAUGAAAUGUGCCGCGCAGAAUAUUAUUGGCUUCUUGUUGGCUUUAUUGCUCCAUUAGUUCUGUGGAUUUUCUCCCUUUUGUUGGGUGCAAAGAAUGUUAGAUUACAUGAUUAUCUUUUCAUGAUGGCAAGAAUAAGGUUUAGGAAGAUUAGGAUUUUUGUUUCAAUAGAACUACUUGUUUCAUGGUGCUUUAAGGUGAGGUGUUUGAUCUUCUUAUACAUUCGUCGGGUGUAGAUGUUUCACCAUUUAAUUAAAAUUAAUUGUUGAAGUUGGUAAGGGUUGUGCUUGGUGCAUAUUACCCCUUCAUAAAAGAGUGUUGUCUUAAGACAUUGAUGUUGAUGUAUAGCUGCAUCCAAAUUUGAUGGUGUGAAAUUGUAGUGUUGAUUGCAACUAUGAAUUGCUUUGAGCUUCAUUGCAUGUUGUUUCAUGCUUGAUGUCAGGUCGUGUAGUUUCCUUAGACAAUUAGUCCAAGGUAGAAGUUCUUCUGUUAAUUAAGACCAAUAAUGGACCCAUGUUUUGAAUGGUGGUGUUAUAUGGGGUACCUUGGGUGUUUUGCUUGGAGUGGCCGAAUUCGAGGUCGAAUUCUUUUUAAGGGGGGUAGAGUGUAAUAUCCCAAAAAAAAUGUUGACCAAAAGUUAAUCUUUGGUGCGUGGAUGAGGUAAAGGGUUGUGGGCCAUUGGAUGCAAAGAUAGAAGUCAUCUGAGGCGUCGUUUCUUUCUCCCACAAAAACCCUAGGUGGCCACCCCUUUUUUUCCCUUCGCCCCCCUCUUGGCCGCCACCCCCUUUUUCCCCCUUGGCUGGCCGCCCCCUCCCCCUAUGGCAGCCAUCCUCCAUUGCUUCCUCCCCCAAGAUCUCCCCCUACGCAGCAAGGAUCGAGAAGAGGAGGAGCACGUUGAAUUGAAGAGGAAGAGAGGAUCAAGGAGGUGUUCUUCCCCAUCUCUUCUUGCAUAUUUUCUUGGGGAAACCCUAGGUAUGGAUGGGAUCCUUGUUCCUCCCUGUAGUUAUGUGCUUUUGGAGGUGGUGGAUCAUGGGGAUUAAAGGAUUAGAGGUUGUAUUAGAUGUGGGGUUAGGUUUUGAUCUCGAAUUUAGUUUUCUGCAGCAUGGCAGAUUCGACAGUUUCUAUGCAUACCAGUUUUUCGUGAUCUUAGUGGCCUCAAAAAAAUAAAAAGUCUAUAUAUUAGUCGUAGAUAAUUUGUAGAUCUUUCCGUGGCCGCGAAGAACACCUCAAUCGGACAUCAGAACAGAAAGUUAUGACAGUUUGAUUAUAGCAGUUUUUCAGUCUCAUAAUUCUGUGCAGAAUCUGUUCUCUUAAGAGUUAGGCAAUUUUAUCAACAGAAUUAAACUGUGGGUUGGUAAAAGAAGUUGUAGAUAAUUUCAUAAGCUUUCCAGAUUGUUAAAGAGUGCAUUCAUAUGGUUUGUGAAACUCCAGUUAUGUUUGUUUUACUGUGGCUGUUCCUGUUUGCCUGACAAAAAUGAGUGGGUCUGUUCACUGGUGGGUUUCAUCUAGUAAAUGGCCGAAUUGGCUCUUCCAACUAUGGAGACUUUUGUAGAGGGAUAAAAGUUCUUACUUCCAGCAAAAUUUCAUAAUGUUUGGUUCAGUAGUUUGGGAGAUAUCGAAUUUUAAAGUGAACCAUACUGCUGUCUAAAACAGAUUCAGUCAGUUAUCUUGUGAGAUGCUUUAGAACUUGUAGAUGGCAGAAUUUAAUUAUCCAUUGAAUACUGAAGUUGUAGAGUAUUUUGUGUAGAUACUCCUAGAGUAUUUGUUUGAUAUCACCGCUGUUUUAAUUUUAAAGAUACAAAAUUAACAAACAGCGCUGCUGCUGUGUGGCAUGUGGUUCAGGGUGGGAGUCUUUCCACUGGGUCUUGGUUUCAAGUGUAGGAGUGUUUUGUUGAUUGAUGGCAAAUGUUUGUGAAAUAUUUGUACUAAGUUUUAUGCCCGCUAGCAGGUGGCUACACUCCAGAUCAUGUCUAGUACAUUUCUUCUUCUUCGAUGAAGGCAAGUGAAUGUAGCGGUGGUUGCUUCCGUUCUGACCUGUUAUUUCUAUUGCCUACACUCUAAUAUUCAGAAGUAUUGGAUUCUUUCAUAAUUGGACUCUAUGGUGAUGCUUUACUUGUUGCAUUAUACUGAUGCUCAAUCAUAUAUUGAUGAUGAUUAUGAUUCGAGUAUGAUUCAUGAGAUUAAUUCACACCCCUGAAGGUAAAUGAAGUAUUAUUUGAGGUUGGUAUUGUAUCUGAAGGUAAAUGAAGUAUUAUUUGAGGUUGUUAUUGUAUCUGAAGGUAAAUAAAGUAUUAUUUGAGGUUUGUAUUGUAUCUGAAGGAAGUGAAGGUUAUUGAUAAAUGCAGCAUGCCAUAUACAUUGCAUGACUCAUUUGCAUCUGAAGUUUUGUCGUGACCUAUGGUCCGACCGUACCGGUACAAUUUAGCAUCGUACGUUGCCCGAGGAGGGGUACGAUGCGGCUUCAUACCCUUAGAGGUAUGAAGGCAGAGGACAUAUGCAUUGCAUUCAUAUGCAUUCAUUGAAGUGAUAUUUGCAGAUGAUGUGGUUUUAUACUCUCAGAGGUAUGAAGAUAGAGUACCUACACAUUGCAUUCAUAUGCAUACAUUGAAGUGAUAUUUGCAGGUAUUGUUGACGCGGGGAAGUGUUGUAGAACCUAUUGUGGUUGUUCGAGGAAAUGAGAUGAUAUUGGUUAUAUCGGGACUACUAAGUUCUAUAUCUACAAGUAUUUCUGAUCUUGAUUGUGAUUCUUUUAAAAUGUUGAUUAAUUCAAUUUGUGGUUUAAAUAUCUCGUCAGAACAAUUAGCUUGCUGAGAUGUUUCAUCUCACUCUUGCAUUACUCAAUGCAGGUGCUUGUUGCUCAUCAAGGGGAGUGGGAAGUAGCAGCACAUCCACCUUCACUCUCAUAAUAAUGCUGCCCAGACACAGUCAUGAUUUAAUUAGAAACUUCUUGUCAAAGGAUGUUUGUUUUUAACUAGUCGUGCACACUGAUUAAUUCAGUUCAUGUUGUUAUGGUUGUC